rnacentral:tmRNA from 1 species
GGGGUCGACUGGUUUUGACAGCGAGUCUAAUUGAGGUGUAAGCAUGCAGAGCGCUGGGAUACAGCUCUUAAAUCUCAUAUUUCACACUUUUUAAAUGGCGAGAAUAACUACGCUCUUGCUGCCUAAUCUGAAGUUAUAGUAAGAUUUCGGCCACGUUCCCGCAAGGCGGGAAGGCGAGAUGUCUCUGGGUAGCCCUUGUUGAUGGCGACCCGUUUUGAGGCACCAUAAAAGUCAACAUAGAAACGGUGUAGCUCCGGCACGGUUUUAAAUUUUAAGGAGCUAAGCAAAUAGUGGGCGGUUUUCGGUCAGCUAUUUGUCGACAAUUAAACGGAAACUAAGCAUGUAGAAAGCAUUUUGGUUGCUUGUUUGGACGGGAGUUCGAAUCUCCCCGACUCCACGA